CAGACAACUGGAUUCUCCAGGAACCAUUCUAAAGGUUCUGUUGCCAAAUAAUGAAAAUGUUAAAAAGAAACUUAUUUUAAGCAGAACUUUUCAACAGGUUGGGGACAUGGCUCAGGCAUAGAGCUCUUGUCUUCCAGCACAGUCAUGGCCUGUCACUGACACUGCACAGCAGCACUGGAUGACAAGAGGCAAGGAUUGGAAUGCUGAAGUGUUUUGAAUCUCCAAAACAUAAGAUCUUUUCCUGAGAAACUCUCACUUUCAAUGAGAAAAAAGCAGCACCUAUCCAGACACAUUGGUGAUCGCUACAACCUAAGGCAGAAUAUACAUAGUGCUUCACAAAUAGGCUAGAGGGGUACUUCUGGGUAAGUUACACAACUCUAUAUUUACUUUAAAAAAUUCACUGAGCUUUCUAAAGCUACUAUUUUAAAAAUACUUCAAUUCAGGACAACUACCAAAAUCUAAGGCCUGAGGAAAAUUAAGCAGUACUGUACCAAUGCUAAUUUCCUGACUGUGAUCACUGUACUAUUUUUAAAUGAUAAAAAAGGAAUUUCCCAGAGCUUUCAGGAAAUACACCACAGUAUUUGUGGGUAUAGUGGCAACACAUCUGAAAUUUAGUAGCAAAACAUGUCAAAAGAAAACUACUGAAAGGAGAAAAGAACAAAAGUAAACUGGCAAAAACACUGUCUAAGGAACCUGAGUUAGAAUGGUUGAGAAUUCACUGUACUUUGGGUAACUUUUAAAUUAUGUCAAAGUAAAGAUAAAACUGUAGAAUAACAUGGGUCUGUCAGGACUACAUAAUGUGUUCAAGGCCUGGGCUAGAAUAAGGACUGCUGUUUCAAAGAGUUAAGAAAAGAGUAAAGAAGGGCUGGAGAGAUAGCUC
rnacentral:lncRNA from 1 species